rnacentral:lncRNA from 1 species
UUGUCUUUGAUUCUACCGCCUUUGUCUUUGGUUGUAACGCUGAUAAAGAGUUUUCAAGUUUCCAUAAUUUUUUGAAAUCAUCUUCCUAUGAACGAAGGGUUUCUUUCGGAUCUAAAGUUUCUGCAUCUUGCGUUUUCAUUUUUCAGAUCAUCUUCCUAUGAACGAAGGGUUUCUUUCGGAUCUAAAGUUUCUGCAUCUUGCGUUUUCAUUUUUCAGAUCAUCUUCCUAUGAACGAAGAUCAUUAGACCUAAUGUCUCUAAAAAGGAGAAUAAAACAACAUAUGCUUACGAUGCGAGGUAAAAUUGAAUCUUUUUUCGCUUUUCUUUGAUUCUGAUCGUUGUAUGUAUGUAUGUAUGUAUAUUUGAUCUUCUAAUCUGUUGUAUUGAAAGCGAAUUUGAUUACAAUGUGUGUGUUAUUCUUAUGUUGUUUGCAUCGCUUUUGAUAUGAUUUAGCUUGAUUUUCGUACUUUCGAUUAUAACUUUAUAACCGAUUUGACCGAGAUCAAUGAAUUUUGACUUUGAUCAUUUCUAUCUAGAAGUGGUGCAUUUGUUCAUCUAAUAGUAAAUCUAGACAAAAGUUUAAGUUAGUGAUUAAGUAACAACCCUAUAAUGGAAAUCAUGUUGUGUUAUUGGACAAUCGGUUUCUAUUAAGUGGAAAACUAGGUUUUUAAAUGUUCUUAUGCAGAAUUGAUUGAAAUCAAAGCACAGAGGUUGAAAUCUCAAGUGGAUGGGGACUUGUGUUUUUGUCUACAAGUGUUGCUGUAGAGUAAAUUUGAGUUUAUGUUUUAAGGAAAGGAAUAGGUGUCAAGAAUAUAUAGAUAUACUGUUUUGUCUCUCUUCUGUUUGAAUGAUUUCGCAUUACUGUCUUGAUAUAUAUAUGUAUGUGCUAUUUUGGGAUACAAAUCAUUAGUCAAAGUUCAUUUACGUAUCACUUGAUGACUUGAUCUAGAUCAUUUCUCUAUAUAAUCGAGCAUAACCGAAAGUAUGACAAUUAAGCUUAGUCAAAUGAAUGUUUAUUUUUUAAAUGGUUAUUUCUUCUUGUGGUUUUAGUUGCCUAAGCAUAUUAGUUGACAUGUUUUCUGAGUGUUAGUAAGUUAUGAGGCUCUGUGCUGAAACAGGCUAAUGUAAGUAGAAGAACAAAGGGAUUUUGUUAUAUAUUACAUGCACAUAAUCACAUCUGUAAAGUGAUUACUAUAUCGUCAUCUUCUUUAGGGUGUGUGAGACAAAGCAGAUGCUCAUAGCCUUAUUAUAUCAGCUCAAUUAAACUUGCCUGCAUCCAUUCCCAAUAGUGAAAACUUAUGUUAGUAAUCGUAAAUCAUAUACAGUUUAGAUUUAUUUGUUAGCUGGAUACAUAAUUCUUUCAAAGCUCCGUUAGGUUGGUGGUGUCGAAUCUGACAUUCAAGUCAAUGAGGAUCGCAACUGCGGUGAAGCUAAGCACUUAAUGCGGUAAAAAAUUGGAUAUCGUUCAAGGACCGUUAUUUGAGAUAUCGGUAAUUGCGGUGGGAUAUCAGUAAUUAUAAUAUUAUGCUGAAUUUAUAUAUACUCUCCUACUAUGAAAAUUAUUAGGUUUGAUCGAAUAGAGCUGAUCAAAACAUAGAUAUAAAAUAACAUGUAUGUUAGCAUAAGAUAAGGUACAAUACUACAAUGUACAUGUGGCCUUGAGAAACAAAUGAUCUGAUCCCUUCCAUGCUGGUAUCCACAAAUGCCACAUCUCAUCAUUACAUCGGUUGUAUAAGACUAUGGGGUAUGGGGCGGGGGUUGGGUACAAACGCCCACGUCACCACCCCGGGUGGGCUUAGGUUUGGGCGUGGCCCCUUGGGCGUGGGGUUUCAGCCCGGGCGUUGGGCGGGGCUACCCACAUGAGAUGGCGGAACCUCAUUGGCCAAGAGCAAUAGCCCUUUGAAAUUUGUUUUUUUCCCACGCCACCCAACCCACGCCCCACCAUACCCCUUUGAAAUUGGCUUUUGGUCUUGGGUGCCCCAUAGUCCACGUGUCGCACCAUGCCCCCAACCCACGCUCCACCAUACCCUACGGUCUAAGUCAAACUUUGUUUUGUUUUUGUAGUUUUAAAUUCGUGUAAUCAUAUAUUAUAUUUAUUCUCACAAGUCAUGGAAAUAACCAGUUCUAGGUCUCAAAAUAAAUGUUCAAAGCUGAUUAUGAUUCUGUCUCUGUAUGUUCUUGAGAACUUUUAUGGUGCAUUUAGCAUGUCAUUUGGUUCUGAAACAUGACAUUAUUCCCAAAUAUUUUAUUAAAAAGAUGAUUAGGAUAUAUGCAUACACAUGGUAUACUAAUAUUCUUUUUAAAUGUAUACAAGGCAAGCAUAUGUCGUAGAAAACAUAUGAAGAUGACACUUAUGUCAACCGAUGAUUCUCAACUUUGCAUUCUUUUUUCCAAGGCCAGUCUUAUUUUGACCAACUCAACUUUUCUACACCAUUUUUUGCUAACUUUUUGUACCUUUAUGUUACCUUAAUGCUGUAAAAUGUUAAAUAUAAAGAAGGAUUUUUUUGUUUAUUUGGAUAUGUUAACCCAUUCGGCUAAUCGGCUGCUAUUUUAUCAGGUUGGGCAAAACAUCCGGUUUCAACAAGAAAGGAGUUCAUGUUCUUAAUUGAAACGUUCGUUAUGGAACUCUUAAAUCUGACAAAAGACUUAGUUUUGAGGUUAAGGUAAAGGAGGUAGCACCAGAAGCUAGAAAAAGAGAUGCCUUGCUGUCAUUUGCUUUUGUAUAUACCGGUCUGAGAGACCAGGACGUAUGCGUCAGUGGUUCUGAAGCUGUUUCGUUCUUUCAAGCUGCUCCGGAGGCUUUUAAUUAAGUUUGUUCGUUCGAUGGUGGCUCCCAGGGAGUGUGUAUAGUUUAGGCAUGGGUUUCCGGGAAUCCAAGGCUCCUCAUUGGCUUUUAAUUUGCCCUUUUGAUCGUUUCUUAUUUUGAGGUUUCUAUUAGGUUCGGUUGAAGCGACGACCUCUACAUACGAAUUACAAGUAUUAACCAAUGGGGACAUCAAAAGUUUGUUUUUAGCGCAUACAACCUCCAUUUGUUUUUUAUUAGUUAUAUAUUUAGAUUUACAUUAUGAUUAUAGUACUACUGCUUUCUUCAAUCAUAAUUAGCACAUAAGUUAUUUUAAUGUUUUUUUAUAAGUAAAAAGUGUUU